CCAAUCGCCUCCAUCUCUAUUCUCAUUCUCAACUCUGAACAAGCCGUCCCUCUCUCUCUCUCGCUCUCUCUCUCUCUCUGCAACUGCAAACUACAAAAUCUACAAUAAUCAGAAGUUCGAAACCCAUAUAUUUCAGUUAAUCUAUCUGUCUGCAAGAAUCAAAAGUUCAAAACCUAUUACCUAUAUCAAAACCCAUAUCGGCAUAUCAUUUCAGAUUGUUCAAAAAAUCAAAACCCAUAUCUUUCAGUUUCCAUCGCCCGCUGUUCCAGUUCGGGUUCGCCGUUCGCAAGCUUCAGCCGCUGGCCCCCCUCUCUCUCUGCAACUGCUAACUUGUAUGGUUAGUAUCGGGCCUUAACAUGUAACAAGAACAAGGUUCAAGAAACAUGCCUCCUCAUUCAUCAGGUCUCUAUUCUAAAAGAAGAGAGUUGAUGGGAAUGGGCGGUGUAGGCAAAAAGAAAACAGGUUGAUGGAAGAAAUUUUAAUGUCAAAACGGGAAGAAGAGCAAAAGGAUAAUGGAUAUCGAGUGGACUGGUGUAGUGCCUGCAAAGGCCAUUAUCAGAUUCAGAAUGGUAUCAAAGGUGUGGAAUCUAUAUUUAGGUAGUGAGAAAAUGUCAACACUUGCAACUUACUUUUUCAAAAUAAUGUGCGGAUAUUUCUCUCAUAUUGCUCUCAGUUCGGAGGCUCAACUCCAAGCUUCAUCUUAGUGGAUGCUAGUUAUGGGGAACCUUGUAAGACAUUAAGGUUUUUACGUCAGCCUGUGGUGAUAAGAAAUAGCUGCAGAGGACUAAUACUCUGCCAAGGGUUUCAUGAAGCACAUCUUUAUUACAUUUGUAACCCCGCAAACCUCCAAUGGCAGUUAAUCCCGUUUUGGAAUGUGAAAGUGGAUUUAAAUCUCACUACUGAACUUAUUUUGGUUCAUGACCCAUCGAAGGUGGUUUCAAAUUUCAAAUUUGAAAUUGUUGCUGCUGGAGCUAUGACUGGACCAUUGAUGACUGUCAGUGUGUAUUCCUCAUAAACAAUCCUGGAAAGCAUAUAACAUUAAAAGAUUUGGGCUUGGGAGCAAAAUAUAUCCUGGUGCUGUCUACUUAAACAGAAAGGGGUUUAUUGGAGGAUUUCAUCCAAUAGGCUACUUUAUUUUGAUAUUGAUGAAAGAAGAAGAGGUCAUGGCUUUAUUGACUUGAAGUUCCCCAGUGAACAAGGCACUAUAACAGAAUGGGAUGAUAAACUUUGUUUUUUUCACUCAAAGUGUGUUGGAAAAGACUGUCUUCUCAGCAUCUUCGUUGGUCCAGAAAACAACACAGAUAUGAGGUUGAAGUUGGAGAGGACUAUAGACCUUGAAGAAGUUGGUGGUGGAAUAGGUCAGCCGGUAUGGGUAUUGGGGGCGAUAAAAGAGGGUGCCAUUUACAUUCUCAUAGGGAAAUCCCUUUAUUCUUAUCAUGUGAUGUAUGGGCAGAUCAAUCUUAUUGGCUGCCUCGGCAGGGAUUUCAGUGCCAGUAAUUCUUAUUAUCCAUAUAUCAAUUCAUUGGUAAGGCUGGAGGCAGUGAAACAAGAGAAGAAGCGAAAGAAUGAGCCAUACAAUAAGCAGUCAGGUCAAUCUCCAAACAAGAAGAACAAAAACAGGAGAUGAAAGAAGAACAAAAAUGCAACUCCACCAAAGGCUGAAAGCAUCUAAAGCUCUGUCGAAGGCUGAUCGAUAGCGGUAGAAUGAACCACUUUUCAGAAGAUUGAUUUCAUGUUUGCUAAAUUUAAUAUUCCUAUGUUGUACUAGUUAAUGCUGAAGUGCGUAGGAAGCCCUAAUGAUCAAUGAUCCCUAGCAAUAGAAAAGAUUUAGCAUAUUAAAUUUUGAAAGCAACCUUAAUACCUUAUUGUCAGAUAUCAUGUAUGUUGAGAGUGAGAUUCUUAAGCUGACUCAUAUACCAGGAAGAGAAAAUUCACUUAUCAAAAAAAAAAUAUACCAGGAAGAGAAAAUUCAGAGUUUUUUAAAUU